AACACCCACGCCGAAAGACCAAGGGUUCCUGCGCAACGUUAAUCGACGCAGGGUUAGUCGGUUCCUAAGGCGAGGCUGAAAAGCGUAGUCGAUGGGAAACAGGUUAAUAUUCCUGUACUUCUGGUUACUGCGAUGGAGGGACGGAGAAGGCUAGGCCAGCUUGGCGUUGGUUGUCCAAGUUUAAGGUGGUAGGCUGAAAUCUUAGGUAAAUCCGGGGUUUCAAGGCCGAGAGCUGAUGACGAGUCGUCUUUUAGAUGACGAAGUGGUUGAUGCCAUGCUUCCAAGAAAGGCUUCUAAGCUUCAGGUAACCAGGAACCGUACCCCAAACCGACACAGGUGGUCGGGUAGAGAAUACCAAGGCGCUUGAGAGAACUCGGGUGAAGGAACUAGGCAAAAUGGCACCGUAACUUCGGGAGAAGGUGCGCCGGCUAGGGUGAAGGAUUUACUCCGUAAGCUCUGGCUGGUCGAAGAUACCAGGCCGCUGCGACUGUUUAUUAAAAACACAGCACUCUGCAAACACGAAAGUGGACGUAUAGGGUGUGACGCCUCCCCGGUGCCGGAAGGUUAAUUGAUGGGGUUAGCGCAAGCGAAGCUCUUGAUCGAAGCCCCGGUAAACGGCGGCCGUAACAAUAACGGUCCUAAGGUAGCGAAAUUCCUUGUCGGGUAAGUUCCGACCUGCACGAAUGGCGUAACGAUGGCGGCGCUGUCUCCACCCGAGACUCAGUGAAAUUGAAAUCGCUGUGAAGAUGCAGUGUAUCCGCGGCUAGACGGAAAGACCCCGUGAACCUUUACUGUAGCUUUGCACUGGACUUUGAGCCUGCUUGUGUAGGAUAGGUGGGAGGCUUUGAAGCGUGGACGCCAGUUCGCGUGGAGCCAUCCUUGAAAUACCACCCUGGCAUGCUUGAGGUUCUAACUCUGGUCCGUAAUCCGGAUCGAGGACAGUGUAUGGUGGGCAGUUUGACUGGGGCGGUCUCCUCCUAAAGAGUAACGGAGGAGUACGAAGGUGCGCUCAGACCGGUCGGAAAUCGGUCGCAGAGUAUAAAGGCAAAAGCGCGCUUGACUGCGAGACAGACACGUCGAGCAGGUACGAAAGUAGGUCUUAGUGAUCCGGUGGUUCUGUUUGGAAGGGCCAUCGCUCAACGGAUAAAAGGUACUCCGGGGAUAACAGGCUGAUACCGCCCAAGAGUUCAUAUCGACGGCGGUGUUUGGCACCUCGAUGUCGGCUCAUCACAUCCUGGGGCUGAAGCCGGUCCCAAGGGUAUGGCUGUUCGCCAUUUAAAGUGGUACGCGAGCUGGGUUUAGAACGUCGUGAGACAGUUCGGUCCCUAUCUGCCGUGGACGUUUGAGAUUUGAGAGGGGCUGCUCCUAGUACGAGAGGACCGGAGUGGACGAACCUCUGGUGUUCCGGUUGUCACGCCAGUGGCAUUGCCGGGUAGCUAUGUUCGGAAAAGAUAACCGCUGAAAGCAUCUAAGCGGGAAACUUGCCUCAAGAUGAGAUCUCACUGGGAACUUGAUUCCCCUGAAGGGCCGUCGAAGACUACGACGUUGAUAGGCUGGGUGUGUAAGCGUUGUGAGGCGUUGAGCUAACCGGUACUAAUUGCCCGUGGGGCUUGACC
rnacentral:rRNA from 1 species